UGACGCGGCGCUCGCCAGGCCGCAGCCCCGCCGCCCCGCAGUAGGGCCCGCCUCGGCCCGCCCCCGGCCCUCCCCGCCCGGCCUCCCGAGCGCCCCUGUCAGAUUGUGGCGGCUGGCCGCGCGGUGCGCUCCUUCCCUGCUGCCUGGGCGAGGAGGCUUGUGUGCAGGCACACCCCCACGUCCCUUCGGCGCCGCUGCCUCUGCUCCACUGGCCUCAGCUCCGCCCAGCUCUCCGCCACACGCCGGUAGCGACAUGGCACACGCGGCGGUACGCUGCCCCAGCGCUCGGGGCUCCGGGGACGGAGAGAUGGGCAAGCCCAGAAAAGUGGCGCUCAUCACUGGCAUCACGGGCCAGGAUGGUUCAUACUUGGCUGAGUUCCUGCUGGAGAAAGGCUACGAGGUCCAUGGAAUUGUGCGGCGAUCCAGUUCAUUCAAUACAGGUCGAAUUGAACAUCUGUAUAAGAACCCCCAGGCUCAUAUUGAAGGAAACAUGAAGUUGCACUAUGGUGACCUCACUGACAGUACCUGCCUUGUGAAGAUCAUUAAUGAAGUAAAGCCUACAGAGAUCUACAACCUUGGAGCCCAGAGCCACGUUAAAAUUUCUUUUGACCUGGCUGAAUAUACUGCAGAUGUUGAUGGAGUUGGCACUUUACGGCUUUUGGAUGCAGUUAAAACCUGUGGCCUUAUCAACUCUGUGAAGUUCUACCAAGCCUCAACAAGUGAACUCUAUGGGAAAGUGCAAGAAAUACCCCAGAAGGAGACUACUCCUUUUUAUCCUCGGUCACCGUACGGGGCUGCUAAACUCUAUGCCUAUUGGAUUGUGGUGAACUUCCGAGAGGCAUAUAAUCUCUUUGCAGUUAAUGGCAUUCUCUUCAAUCAUGAAAGUCCCAGAAGAGGAGCUAAUUUUGUUACUCGAAAAAUUAGCCGGUCAGUGGCUAAGAUUUACCUUGGACAACUGGAAUGUUUCAGCUUGGGAAAUCUGGAUGCCAAACGAGAUUGGGGCCAUGCCAAGGACUAUGUAGAGGCUAUGUGGCUGAUGUUACAGAAUGAUGAGCCAGAGGAUUUUGUCAUAGCUACUGGGGAAGUCCAUAGUGUUCGGGAAUUUGUGGAGAAAUCAUUUUUGCAUAUUGGAAAAACCAUCGUGUGGGAAGGAAAGAAUGAAAAUGAAGUGGGCAGAUGUAAAGAGACCGGCAAAGUUCACGUGACUGUGGAUCUCAAAUACUACCGACCAACCGAAGUGGACUUUCUGCAAGGAGAUUGCACCAAAGCGAAACAGAAGCUGAGCUGGAAACCCCGGGUCGCUUUUGAUGAGCUGGUGAGGGAGAUGGUGGACGCCGACGUGGAGCUCAUGAGAAACAACCCCAACGCGUGAGAGCGGCCGCGGAGGCCCGCGCCGCCCCUGCCGGCCUGUGGUCCCCGCUUGGAAUCAGCUGGUGCGGGGUCGCAGGUGUGAUCCCGGGAGGGGCGCGAGAAUCCGGCGGGUUCCCUGCGGACCCUCGCUGCCUCUGCGCUUUGUCCCCGCCGUUAGGAUCUGGGGCCGCUGAGAUCUGGAAACCCAGUUCCUGAAGAAAGGAGGCAUUCACACCCCCUCCGGUCUCUGCUGACUAUAAUUAGAACCCACGGAGCUCCCACCAUCUCAAAAGAAGUCUUGAGAAAUAGAGGGGGGCCAGAAGAAGAAACCUGAAGGUUUAUGAUCUGGGGGAGGACCCAGGCUCCAAUGGCUGGCGGCAGGAGAGAGGGCUCUUUGUGUGGCUGCCUGAGUUGCUACAAGAGUAUGCUGGCCAGGGGCAGCCUCGGCUUCGAUGGAGCAGAACUGGGGCGGCUUGAGCUGGCCCACCCGGUUCUCAGAAGCUGCCCCAGGACAGGCCUUCUCCCAAUCGGGAUGCUGCUAAUUGGAAACAGAUGGCUCUGGAAGGCUGGGCUCCAGGACUGAGAUGGCUGGUGGGCACAGAGGCACUCACAAGUACACAAUCACACAUGUUGCCACACAUCCAAACCCACACAUGCACACAAAUACAGAUACACACCUACAACAGUCCCACAAACACGCAUUCACUCACAAACACUUGAAAACACAACACAAACCUGCUAUCACCAACACAUGGCCACACACAUACUCUCACAAAUCUCACAAAUAAACACAUUAGCACACAUUCCCCUUAGCCUUGACCCUGAUGGACAGGCACCCCCCUCUUCUCCUCCUCUGACCCCCUGAACCUUCACCUCCUCCCACACCCAGGCAUAGAGGCCAUUCCUUCCGGCUUGCAGUGGCCCUAUAUAAUUCAGUAUUUUGAGGCUUGUUAGCCCAAAACCAUAAUAAACUCCUUAAUAAAGGAUCACGAGAGAUUCUAGGCAGGGGCUUAAUGGGACUGCGGUAGAGUUAUAAUGUUAAAUUAUUCUUCUCAAAAUGGCCUGGAGCAUCAGUUUUUGAAGAACACAAGAGUAUUUUUGGUCGCAAUCUUCUCUCUAUUCCUGAAUCCUCAGUUGGGCGGACGGAAUUUGCUCAUUUGGCUUCCUGGUCUCCUGCUGUUUAAAAGGUGCACGAGAGAACAGAUUUGCUUGAGUAUCUCUGUUCUUUCUGUGCUCUGAAUUUCACCUGGACAUCCUUCAAGACAAUCAUUAAAAAGGGUCUUCCAUCUUAAAUCUCAACUCAAUUUCACUGAAUUUAUUUUCCUCCCCUUUUUCCUGCUCUGCCAGCUUUGGCUUUUCAGUUUAAGUGUGAUAAAAUAUCUUCCACCUUGAUUUUUUUUUCUUUUAGUAAAAACUAAGAAAGUCAAACUUUCAGUACAUUCAAACAUAAUACGAACGCAAACACCACAUUUGUGCCCCAGAUGAACAGCAAGGUGCAUGGAUACCUGGGCCAGCCAGGACCUCCCUUUCCAUCGGACCAGCCUGCCAGGCUCUCCCGGGGGCUGUGUCGGCUGCCCUUGGUCUUUAAGGAAUUAGGAGGCAGCCGGGUCCCCGUAUAUUAACCUGACACACCCCUCCAGCUGUUUAGGGGUGAAGGCCUGCAGUGCCGGCUGUGGGACCUCUAAGGGAAGUGCUGAAACGCUUGGGAAGAUAAAGUUCCCCGCAAGAUGGCUCCUCAGGAAGCUCGAUUUCAGGUCUACCAUUGUGCGCCAGUAAACCAGCGCAAAAAUGCACCAGGCUCCUCUUGGUCUUUAAUCGCCUUACCAACACCAACCACCAAGAUUCCAUAGAACGCCUGCUCGCCGGUUGGUCGACUGCUGGCAAAUGAAACUUUCCUUGGCGUUCUUAAAGCUCCCAGCUGGAAGCAACACUUUAAAUUUUCAUUUCAAAUUAACCUUAAACGCACGGUUUACAAAUAACUUUCUAAAACCCAAGAAA